rnacentral:rRNA from 1 species
GACGAACGCUGGCGGCGUGCCUAAUACAUGCAAGUAGAACGCUGAAGGAGGAGCUUGCUUCUCUGGAUGAGUUGCGAACGGGUGAGUAACGCGUAGGUAACCUGCCUGGUAGCGGGGGAUAACUAUUGGAAACGAUAGCUAAUACCGCAUAACAGUAGAUAUCGCAUGAUAUCUACUUGAAAGGUGCAAUUGCAUCACUACCAGAUGGACCUGCGUUGUAUUAGCUAGUUGGUGAGGUAACGGCUCACCAAGGCGACGAUACAUAGCCGACCUGAGAGGGUGAUCGGCCACACUGGGACUGAGACACGGCCCAGACUCCUACGGGAGGCAGCAGUAGGGAAUCUUCGGCAAUGGACGGAAGUCUGACCGAGCAACGCCGCGUGAGUGAAGAAGGUUUUCGGAUCGUAAAGCUCUGUUGUAAGAGAAGAACGAGUGUGAGAGUGGAAAGUUCACACUGUGACGGUACCUUACCAGAAAGGGACGGCUAACUACGUG